rnacentral:lncRNA from 1 species
GGCCUUUUCCUCCCCAGGACAGCCUGCAGGUGUGCCACCUGCGGCAUGGUCGGAAGCGCGACCGUUGAGGAUGAUGCCACCGAGGGGCUCGCGGCGGGCAGCGGGUGACCGUGGAUACGCGACCCAGGUGGAGGAACCUACUACUGCUGACACUGUCAUGGCAGGUACGAGUUACUUAAGCAAGCAUAUGCUUCUACCUAAUAUUGGACUGUUGCAUAGCAUGCAUUUAUCAUAUGGUCAGCAGCUACUAUUUACAUAUUGCAUAGUAGGGACCGAGUGGUCGGGUAGGUGGACACCCGAGCAUGCUUGCGUCGUGAGAGUGUAGCGCCUGCUGGAGCAGGUAGAGAGCCAUGUAGUACUAACAAAUUGUUAGUGAUAGUUCCUGGACAAGAAAUGAGACUCGCAGUGAACGGGAAACGGUGAAGCGGCUCUCAAGGCAAUGAGAACCAGAUUGCGAGAGUUGCGCCGUGACGUUGAGGAUACCCUGGUAGUUCGAGCAUUUUGAAUAUGGUUCGGUAGAUCGAACAGUGAGAGUAGGAUCACUGUUGAGAAAAUAGCCAGAUAGUUAUCGAGCACGAGCAUGUGGGCCUAAUAACACCCUGAGUUGAGGUGGGCGAGUAGUGCUCGUGUAGUUGGUGUGCAUAGGCAGGUGGCCUACUGCUUGGCUUAGUUGAAACGCUAUAGAGGCGUAGAGCGCUCGAGUAUAGGUACUCGUAGAGCAUGUCGUGUAGGACGACGUUGGCGGGUAUUGCUUGGGGACGACCCGUGCCUGGACCAUUUGUGGACUGUGAAGCCUAGGCCCAUUGGGCAGGCGCAGUCAGCUGUGAGAGACAGCGGCCCUGUACCUAUAGAUAGGGCAGAGAGUUGGUCAGGACGGUAGUCCGAGCUUAGACCCGGGUGCGUGGAAUGCCACGUGUUGGAUCGUGAGAUCGAGGAUACACCUAGUGUGUUGUGACCCAACCCGAGGACUUGACGUGGUUUGGGGUCUUGGUUGCUCCUGUUUGGAGUGGGUGCGAAUUCCCAAGUGAGAAUUUUGCCCGAAAAUUGAGGAUUGGGUCUACGUUGCGAGCAGGAAAUGCUACGCAUAGUUGAGACACGUUAGGCGAUAGACCUACGUAGUGUUUGCGACCGUUGGUGUACCUGUGAAAGCCGACGUAAUCGGUUUAGCCAAUAACUCUGUGGAGGAGUUAGAGUAAGGAGAUGAAUUCUCAAAAUACGAGAGUUGAACUUCGCUCGAGAUCGACUAAUUGUCGAGUGGGAGAGCUUCGCGAAAGUCGAAGAAGUCAAAUGUACCAAAAGUGCAUUGCAAUGGAGUCCGCGAGAGCAAAUGGUGCAAGAAUCUGCACUUGGCAGAUUUGCUCUCGGGGACCGGUCCCUGGCGGGAGGGACCGGUUCCCGAAUGUGGUCUGCGCGAGCUUGCUCUCGGGGACCGGUCCCAGACAGGAAAGGACCGGUUGCCCCGAGGCUAAGGGUCGCGCAGCGCGGGGCAACCGGUCCCAGGUAAGGGAGAGACCGGUCCCCGAGUGUGGCAUUUGCCCAGGUAGGCUGGGUUAUGUUGGAGGAAUUGAGGAACUUGAGGAUAAUGCUCUAUUAUGGAUUCAGAAUCGAGAUGCGCCGGAGUAGGCCAUCUCUUGAUAGAGCAAAGAUCCAAAUAUGAUUUGAACACUCACGAUGAAGCGAUGCACAAUGAUAUUGCCUUCAAGCAAGAUUGGUAAUCGAAUUGUCAUACCCUGAGGGGAAAGUAAAUGCAAACAGAAGUUCUUGCAUGUCAAGUGGUGAAUGGUGUUGAAGCGCGUAGUGUUGUUGAGUUUCAACUUGCGCUACCACCAAGAAUGACGGAGACCCGUAAUGCACUUUUGGAAUUACACACGGCAAAUGUGAGUGAGUCUAGUCUCACGUCCUCCGUAGUGAGCCUUUGGAUAGUUCCAAUGAGCGAAAGGCCACUCCGAGAUGCAAAAGUGCAUUGUACCCCCUUGUCACUCAAUAAAGAGAAUUAGAGUGUGAAUUGGGUUGAAGUGAGUGAGUUUCGGGGCCGAAACUCUUAUUAAGGAGGGGAGGAUGUAAGGUACCGGACUUCUAAAACUGUGAAGUUACGGUGUGCAUUUAAAUGGUUCCGGUGAGGUUGCGGUGGAAUGUAACAUACCGGAUUUUAAAUAUAAAAAUGAAAAUAAAUAAAAAUAGUAUGAGAUACUAUUUUUAUUGGAUUUAGAGAAGUGAAAUAUAAGUUGGGAAUGACCUGUGCUGAAAUCAGAGCGAAAACAGAAGAUUUAGAAUUUUCUGUUGGAAACGGGGCAGAUAAAUUAGCAGAAAAUGCACAGUCUCAGAAAAUUAUGAAAAUUGGCAGAGAUGUCAGAAAUAUUUUUAUGAGGCUAGAUUUAAGGUUUCAUAUUUUUCUGACACCCGUAGAGAGAGAAAUAGAAUCCGAAAGCUAUCUGAUAAAGAUUGCAGUUCGGUACAGUUUUCAGUGACCAAACGGGGUCGAAACUGAAAUAUUAAAAUUUCUUUGGACUUAUUAAGUGAAACCGAACAUGCCUGUCAAAUUUGAGCGAAAACGGACAUCCGGAAGGGCUCCAACGAAAUUUAUCAGAUUUCAAGCUGCCCGAAGUGAAUAGUGCGUAGUUGAGGGGCAAAAUGGUAAAAAGGGUUUAAAACCCCUUUUCUUCUUCUCCUCCCAACCGUGGCUGCCCCAACCGCACACACCACACACGCAUACACAAGAACACACACGCAUGGAAAGGAAAGGAGAGAAAUCCCUUUCUCUCUCUAAAUCUCUCCCAAAAUGGAUGGAUUUGGUGGAGAUUGAAGCUUGGAGGUGGAUCGCCUUCGUCUUCUUCAUCUUCUCCAUGAUUUGGAGCUAAUUUUGAGGUAAGCUUUUGCUACCCUUUAAUGGUAGAUCCUUAAUGGUUGGUUUAAAUAGCUUAGAAAUGGAUUUAGAGGAAUCCUAGCAUGCUAUCUAGAUGAUUGAUGCUUAAUUCGUGAAGGGAUUUGAUGAUUUCUUGCAUAGUUGCAACCUGGGGCUCCAAAAUGUAAUUUUUGCUAAUAGAUGGGUUUGAUCUAUUUUGACCCUAUGUAAACCUAAUUGCUAGGUAACGAAACGCGUUGGCGAAGACGGUUCGGCAAUCCGACGAGCCGUUACAAAGUUAUUAAAGAAAUGGACGUUUAGGCUUCGUUUCCGCCUGGAGGGCCGAGGCGAUGUCGUAAAAUCAUGAAAACGGAUUUGAAGCACCGUGGCACAUAACCGAAGACCUUUAAUUUCCGGAUCGCAAAUCGGAGAUCGUUUGGGUGGUCGCGCGAGAGUUCGAGCCAAACCGGGUCGCGGGUGUCGCGGGCGGCCGAUUGCAAGUGACUACAAGCAAUCGGAGAGUAAGUUAAGGUGGGUUGUGCUUACCGAAGCGACUAGGUCGCCCUUAUGUCUAAGAAUAUUAAGAAUUCGUGUUGAUGCAUAUAAGUGUUAAACAAUGCAUGUUAAUGUGAAUGCUAAGUAGAAAUGCAUAGUGAGCAAGUUACAUAAUGCUAGUAAUGCAUGAUAAUAAUGUAAUGCUAGUAAUGCAUGAUAUGAUGUAAAUGCUAAAGUAGAUGCAUAUAAAAGAUUAUAUAUAUGCAUGUAAACUAGAAGGAUGCAUGUAAAUAUAAUGCAUAGAAUGAAAUGCAUGUUGAUGACAUAGUCUAGAAAUGCUAAAUGUAAUGUGCAUGUUAAUAUGAUAAGAAACCAUGCUAGUAAGUGAAUGCAUAUUAAUACAUAUGUGUAUAAUGAGCAUGUUGGAUAAGAUUCGUGUACAUGUAGACUCGAGAUGACAAUAGGAUGUCAAGUAGAUCGAGUGGCACCUAACCUAGUGUUAAAGAACAUAGGUUGUGAAUGAAUCUAGAGUCAUGUGAACUAGAUCGAGUGGCAUCUAACCUAGUGUAUAAAACAUAGGUUGGACAUGAAUGACAAUGAACCUAGUGUUGUUGAACCUAGGAUGAAUCAUGAGUGGCAUCUAACCUAGUGUUAAAGGACAUAGGUUAUGGAUUGAACCUAGAGUUAAGUAAACCUAGGUUAUGUGAUAGAGACGUUGAACCUAGAGUCAGUUGGACCUAGGGUGAAAAGGACGUUGGACCUAGAUAGGUCAAUGCUAUAGGGUUUGAAACCAACCCUUGAGUUAUGAAAUGGAUUCCGGAAUCCCUAGUGAUGUGGCCGCACAUGGAGCGGUGGAAAUUGUGGUAAAAGAGAUGGCAAGCGAAUCAUAACUGCAGGUAUGUGUGGUUCUCCUCGCCUGGCAGUGAUUCAACGGGUAUGUGUGGUUCUCCUCGCCCGGGAUGCCAUGAGAAUAAGCUGGAAUUGGGUAUGUGUGGUUCUCCUCGCCCAUUAGCUUAUCGGAUGAUGCCGCCUAGGUUGACUUGAACCAUUGUUGGGUGAGAGCGAUGUGGUCGCUGCCAGAUGACUAAGUUAUGACUUGAACCAUUGUUGGGUGAGGUGCGAUGAGUUCGCCGCCAGAUGGCUAAGUCAUGACUUGAGUUGUUGUUGGGUGAGAGCGAUGAGUUCGCCGCCAGAUGGUUAAGUCAGAUCUGCGGUAGGCUGCGACGGCAGCCAGGCUGAGGUGCAGCCAGUGCGCGGACUAUCCGCGGAUGAUUGACUCGAGGCCGAGUCGGGUGGUUAGCUUGAUUAGGUUAAUGGGAACCUUAUAAGCUAGUGAUCGAGGCAAGAACCUGAGGUAAUAGAGACCUUAGAAGCAAGUUGAACUUGAGUUGAGAACAUAAGGUAAUGGAAACCUUACAAUUGAAUGAAAUGACCUAAAGUAGCAAAGUAAAUGUAGAAUUAACAUAUCUACUAGUUGUUUAUGCAGUUGCAUAGUUGCAUAAUGUUCAUAUUGCAUUUGCGAGGCAAGGUAUGGUUUUAUUAAUUGCAUAGUCAAAUAUCUAUCUAUCUGUUUAUUAAACUAACCUGCAGUUGCCUCCUUGGACCUAUUGGUCGAGCUCCUCCCUUGGGUGGCCGUACCCACUGGGAACCAUGGAGUUGGUUCUCACCCCACGUUGUUUUGGGGUGUUUCAGGUUCGCACGUGAGCGGCGCGGCGGCGCGAGGAAAGGGCGUAGCUCCAUAGAUAGCGCCCUACCCAGAGACCAGAGAUAGCAAUACCCCGUCGACAUAGCCUAGGGGUUUGGAAAAUGAAAAGAAUACAAUGUAUCAAUUUGUAAUAAGUAAAUGAUGUAAUAACUUAAUUGCAUUUGAGAGUUGGAUGUAAAGUAAAUGUAUUA